rnacentral:rRNA from 1 species
UACGUAGGGGGCAAGCGUUGUCCGGAAUCAUUGGGCGUAAAGAGCGCGUAGGCGGCCCUGUAAGUCCGCUGUGAAAGUCAAGGGCUCAACCCUUGAAUGCCGGUGGAUACUGCAGGGCUAGAGUCCGGAAGAGGCGAGUGGAAUUCCUGGUGGUAGCGGGUGAAAUGCGCAGAUAUCAAGGAGGAACACCGAUGGCGAAGGCAGCUCGCUGGGACGGUAACUGACGCCUGAGGCGCGAAAGCGUGGGGAGCAAACAG